rnacentral:rRNA from 1 species
ACCUACGCCAUGCUACCCUGAACAAGCUGGAUCCUGUCUGAUCGCGGAAGCUAAGCAGGGUGGGGCCUGGUUAGUACUUGGAUGAGAGACCACCUAGGAAGAACUAGGUAGGCGUAAAAA